CAGAGUUUGAUCAUGGCUCAGGACGAACGCUGGCGGCGUGCUUAACACAUGCAAGUCGAGCGGAAAGGCCCUUCGGGGUACUCGAGCGGCGAACGGGUGAGUAACACGUGAGCAACCUGCCCUUAGCUUUGGGAUAGCUCCGGGAAACCGGAAUUAAUACCGAAUAUUACGUCAAUCGACAUCGGCUGACGUGGAAAGAUUUAUCGGCUAAGGAUGGACUCGCGGCCUAUCAGCUAGUUGGUGGGGUAAUGGCCUACCAAGGCGACGACGGGUAGCCGGCCUGAGAGGGUGACCGGCCACACUGGGACUGAGACACGGCCCAGACUCCUACGGGAGGCAGCAGUGGGGAAUAUUGCACAAUGGGCGGAAGCCUGAUGCAGCGACGCCGCGUGAGGGAUGACGGCCUUCGGGUUGUAAACCUCUUUCAGCAGGGACGAAGCGAGAGUGACGGUACCUGCAGAAGAAGCGCCGGCCAACUACGUGCCAGCAGCCGCGGUAAUA
rnacentral:rRNA from 1 species